GUUCAGUUUAUGCCAACACAGAACAGAGGGUGGCCCAGAUCACAGCUCUGUUACUACUAAGUACUUACAUGAGGGCGGUGAUUCUCGUGAAGGAGGGAAGGUGGGAAAACAAGACAACGGCAUCUGAGAAAAGGCAUGAAAGGGGCUUCUGGGGGGCUGGCCGUGGCCCCCCACCCCUGGUUCCAGCCUGCGGUCACAGUCACACUGAGGCUUGCUUUGGGAUCAAUCACAGAGCUGUACUUUUCUAUUUUGUGCUUUUUUUCUUAUGGACGCCUACAAGAACUUCACAAUCCUUAAAGUUUGUCCCUCGACCAGCUGCUUCCAAGACCUCUGGGAUGACAUAAGAGCAGGGGGUGAGAGUCCACCCAGCCCAGCUGAAACUCUCCAGAUGAUUCACCAGGCCACAGCUAUGGGCACCCGGUGAUCGGCAGCUUCAUCAUGACAAUGCACCCACUCACCCAUCACAUCUCCUGCAGAAUUUUUUGGCAAAACAUCAAAUCCGCCAGGUGACUCAGCCCCCCUACAGCCAGAUUUGUCACCCUGAAACUUCUAGCUUUUCCCAAGACUAAAAUCACCUUUGAAAGGCAAGAGAUUUCAGACCAUUGAUGAGAUUCAGGAAAAUACAGUGGGGCAGUUUACGGUGAUUGGAAGAACUGUGGGAGGUCCCAAGGUGCCUACUUUGAAGGGGACUGAGGCAUCACUGUCCUCUGUACAGUGGGUCUUGUAUCUUCUUCAGUGUCUCUGUUUUUCAUAUUACAUGGCUGGAUACCUUCUGGACAGACCUCAUAUAUAUGUAUAAGGGGAGGACCCCCCCAAAUAGAAUUUAUUUACAAAAAAUUGUGUAUUGUUACAUGUUUAAACUUUAGUCACCUUCAAAGUCCUCUCCAUUUGAUGCAAUAUACCCACUGAGAUGUUUUUUUCCACUGCUCGAAACAGUUUUUUAAGUCAUUGAUUUUGAUGCUUGUUAGUGCUUCUGCUGGGUUUUUUGUUUGUUUAUUUCACCUCUUCCAUAUCAGCAAAAUGUUUCCCUUAGAAGACUUUUUUCAUCCAGGGGAACCCAAACAAAAAGUCGCUUGGGGCAAGAUCAGGUGAAUGAGGAGUGAGAGGCA